UGUCUCGAUGGGUUCCCCACAUGCUGCAAAAGAUGGGAUCAACACUUCUGUUAUAUCGAAUUAAUCUUUGAUGCUUGGCUGAAAAUGCACACCCAAAUGGUCCUGUAGUUGAUGGCAGCAGCGACGUUCGUAUAGAAAAAUUCUUCGAUCUACCGAGAAGCUUGUUUGAUGUGUCAUUUUCUGAUGAGUUUGUUGAUUGGCGUUAUGAUAGAGAUCUUCAAGGAUCUUCUACUCCUUCUAGUUUGAUUAGAAUUCUUCGAAGAUAUUAUAAGACAAAAACGUCUGGGGCUAAUUCCUCGGAUGCCCAUGACAUUGGAGCAAGCAAUGGAAAAACACGUUUCAAGAGGCUUCGUGGAGUCUCCAACACUCUUUUUGCUGACGACACCUUAUCUAGCAAAGACAAUGCGACAACUGCCCAUGACGCUGUUUUAUCACCAGAUUGCAGAGAACCUACUCGUGAUGAUGGAGAAAAAGUUAUCCAACCAUCCUUGCCAUCUGAACCCUUGUCCAACUUCGAAUGAUGGGAAGUGACUCGACUAACCCUUGUCCGGAGACUGAAAAUGUUAGAGUAUGCCGGCCCACUUCAAUCCCGCAAUCUGACCCUGGCAUUAGUCGACCUUCCCUUGCCUCUCCAUCUCCAGUCCAGCCAAUAAAUGUGACUGAUCACAGCAUUUUGCUUAAAACCAUGACAGAACAUUACAACCAGUUUCUGAAAUCCGUGACUCAACUAAAUGGUGCGCUAAACCGACGUGCUUUAGAAGGUGGUGCUGAUGCCGGUUUGAGACUGGAAAUCACACGGUUGGAGAGCAAAAAUACUGAGUUGUCUGCCGCUAUAAAGAUGCUGACCGAAGAGUUGGCUGGAGCGCGCCAGGAAUUAGAUAACUCCAAAUCCCGUGAAUUGCAGC